UAUUAAGUGGCUGAAAUUUAAGCAAUGGUCUCUUAAACCAAUAUAUAGUAUUUACUCUUAAUAA
rnacentral:tRNA from 1 species